rnacentral:pre_miRNA from 1 species
CAUAUACUCCCUCCGUCCGAAAAAACUUGUCAUCAAAAUUGAUAAAAAUGAAUGUAUCUAGAACUAAAAUACAUCUAGAUACAUCCCCUUUUAUCCAUUUUGAUAACAAGUAUUUCCGGACCGAGGGAGUAUGAU